UACGGAGGGUGCAAGCGUUAAUCGGAAUUACUGGGCGUAAAGCGUGCGCAGGCGGUGAUGUAAGACAGGUGUGAAAUCCCCGGGCUCAACCUGGGAACUGCAUUUGUGACUGCAUGGCUAGAGUGCGGCAGAGGGGGAUGGAAUUCCGCGUGUAGCAGUGAAAUGCGUAGAUAUCCGGAAGAACACCAAAGGCGAAGGCACAUCCUGGGAAGUACCUGACGCUCAGAUGCGAAAGCCAGGGGAGCGAACGG
rnacentral:rRNA from 1 species